GGGCGAAUGGUUUAGUGGUAUAAUACUCCCUUAGCAUGAUUCAGUCUUCUGAAGAAAUCUGGGAGUGGUCCAGGGUUCGAUUCCCUGUUCGUCCA
rfam:Fusarium oxysporum Fo5176 contig02863, whole genome shotgun sequence.